rnacentral:rRNA from 1 species
CAAUAGCGUAUAUUAAAGUUGUUGCAGUUAAAAAGCUCGUAGUUGGAUUUCGGGGCAGCCUGGCUGGUCCGCCGCAAGGCGAGUACUGGUCAGCCGCCCUUCCUCUCGAAAGCCCCGACUGCUCUUUACUGUAGUGGUCGGGUAGUUCGGGACGUUUACUUUGAAAAAAUUAGAGUGUUCAAGGCAGGCCUACGCCUGAAUACAUUAGCAUGGAAUAAUGGAAGAGGACCUCGGUCCUAUUUUGUUGGUUUCCAGGGCCGAAGUAAUGAUUAAGAGGGACAGUUGGGGGCAUUCGUAUUUAAUUGUCAGAGGUGAAAUUCUCGGAUUUAUGGAAGACGAACAACUGCGAAAGCAUUUGCCAAGGAUGUUUUCAUUAA